rnacentral:rRNA from 1 species
UACGUAGGGUGCAAGCGUUGUCCGGAAUUAUUGGGCGUAAAGAGCUCGUAGGCGGUCUGUCGCGUCUGCUGUGAAAACUCAGGGCUUAACCCUGAGCUUGCAGUGGGUACGGGCAGACUAGAGUGCGGUAGGGGAGACUGGAAUUCCUGGUGUAGCGGUGAAAUGCGCAGAUAUCAGGAGGAACACCGGUUGGUGUAGACGGCUUUCUGGACCGUAACUGACGC